rnacentral:rRNA from 1 species
AGUGAACGCUGGCGGUAGGCCUAACACAUGCAAGUCGAACGGCAGCACAGUAAGAGCUUGCUCUUACGGGUGGCGAGUGGCGGACGGGGGAGGAAUACAUCGGAAUCUACUUUUUCGAGGGGGAUAACGUAGGGAAACUUACGCUAAUACCGCAUACGACCUACGGGGGAAAGCAGGGGAUCUUCGGACCUUGCGCGAGUGAAUGAGCCGAUGUCGGAUUAGCUAGUUGGCGGGGUAAAGGCCCACCAAGGCGACGAUCCGUAGCUGGUCUGAGAGGAUGAUCAGCCACACUGGAACUGAGACACGGUCCAGACUCCUACGGGAGGCAGCAGUGGGGAAUAUUGGACAAUGGGCGCAAGCCUGAUCCAGCCAUACCGCGUGUGUGAAGAAGGCCUUCGGGUUGUAAAGCCCUUUUGUUGGGAAAGAAAAGCAGCAGGUUAAUACCCCGCUGUUCUGACGGUACCCAAAGAAUAAGCACCGGCUAACUUCGUG